GCCACACCUAGCCCGACGGGGCGAACCUCGCAACCCUAAGCGAAUGGUGUGGCUUCUUAAUUUAGGG
rnacentral:sRNA from 1 species